UGAGAGGGUGUAGGUGUUUGUUCAUACCUAUUAGUUAGUUUUUGAUUCACUAGAAUAGCGGCUAACCAAAGUUCUCUUUCAGC
rnacentral:tRNA from 1 species